UGAAGAAAGCCUAAAACUCGACAAAAUACUUCACCAUUGAGGCUAAAGGGUCGCGAAAGGCCAGAGAGUCGAGAAAUUUGAAGAUAUCACAAGAGACCUCCCCCAUGUUUUUUAAGACAUUUCAAAAAUCCAUCGUCACAGAGUGACACUUUCAGUUACUAAAGGAUGAAGACAACCUCGGCAUGAAACUCUAAGGAAUCACUGAUAGCAGUUGAUG
rnacentral:lncRNA from 1 species